GACGUAGGGCGCGAGCGUGUCCGGAUUUAUUGGGCGUAAAGAGCUCGUAGGCGGCUCAUUGCGUCAACCGUGAAAUCCUGCUGCUCAACGGCAGGUCUGCGGUUUGAUACGGGUGGGGCUGGAGUUCGGUAGGGGAGACUGGAAUUCCUGGUGUAGCGGUGAAAAUGCGCAGAUAUCAGGAGGAACACCGGUGGCGAAGGCGGGUCUCUGGGCCGAUACUGAC
rnacentral:rRNA from 1 species